UGGGGGGACUGCGGAGACAUUACUGAUUUGCUUAAUUGCACCACAUGUGUUUUUUAUUGAACAAAUUUCUUUGGUGGCGGGAGCAAUCCUACCGCCAGAGGUUAUAACUAAACCAAACUUUUUAUUUACAGUCAAACUUGAUUUAUUAUUACAAUAGUCAAAACUUUCAACAACGGAUCUCUUGGUUCUCGCAUCGAUGAAGAACGCAGCGAAAUGCGAUACGUAAUAUGAAUUGCAGAUAUUCGUGAAUCAUCGAAUCUUUGAACGCACAUUGCGCCCUUUGGUAUUCCAAAGGGCAUGCCUGUUUGAGCGUCAUUUCUCCCUCAAACCCCCGGGUUUGGUGUUGAGCAAUACGCUAGGUUUGUUUGAAAGAAUUUAACGUGGAAACUUAUUUUAAGCGACUUAGGUUUAUCCAAAAACGCUUAUUUUGCUAGUGGCCACCACAAUUUAUUUCAUAACUUUGACCUCAAAUCAGGUAGGACUACCCGCUGAACUUAAGCAUAUCAAUAAGCGGAGGAA
rnacentral:rRNA from 1 species